CCUACGGGUGGCAGCAGUAGGGAAUAUUGCUCAAUGGGGGAAACCCUGAAGCAGCAACGCCGCGUGAAGGAUGAAGGUUUUCGGAUUUUAAACUCCUUUUUUUAGGGAAGUAAAGGACGUUACCUAACGAAUAAGACCCGGCUAAUUCCGUGCCAGCAGCCGCGGUAAUCCGGAGGGUGCAAGCGUUACCCGGAAUCACUGGGCGUAAAGAGCGCGUAGGCGGGAUAGCAAGUCAGAUGUGAAAUCCUAUGGCUUAACCAUAGAACUGCAUUUGAAACUGUUGUUCUAGAGUAUGGGGGAGGUAGGUGGAAUUCUUGGUGUAGGGGUAAAAUGCGUAGAGAUCAAGAGGAAUACUCAUUGCGAAGGCGACCUGCUAGAACAUAACUGACGCUGAUGCGCGAAAGCGUGGGGAGCAAACAGGAUUAGAUACCCGGGUAGUC
rnacentral:rRNA from 1 species